rnacentral:rRNA from 1 species
UACGUAGGUGGCAAGCGUUGUCCGGAUUUAUUGGGCGUAAAGAGCGUGUAGGCGGCCAGGUAGGUCCGUUGUGAAAACUCGAGGCUCAACCUCGAGACGCCGAUGGAAACCAUCUGGCUAGAGUCCGGAAGAGGAGAGUGGAAUUCCCGGUGUAGCGGUGAAAUGCGCAGAUAUCGGGAAGAACACCCGUGGCUAAGGCGGCUCUCUAGUACGGUACUGACGCUGAGACGCGAAAGCGUGGGGAGCGAACAGG